AUGAACGCUGGCGGUAUGCCUAACACAUGCAAGUCGAACGGUCACCUUCGGGUGAUAGUGGCGGACGGGUGAGUAACACGUGAGAAUCUGCCCUUAGGUCGGGGACAACAGUUGGAAACGACUGCUAAUACCGGAUGAGCUGAAAAGUAAAAGAUUUAUCGCCUAGGGAAGAGCUCGCGGCUGAUUAGCUAGUUGGUGGGGUAAAAGCCUACCAAGGCAACGAUCAGUAGCUGGUCUGAGAGGAUGAGCAGCCACACUGGGACUGAGACACGGCCCAGACUCCUACGGGAGGCAGCAGUGGGGAAUUUUCCGCAAUGGGCGAAAGCCUGACGGAGCAAUACCGCGUGAGGGAGGAAGGCUCUUGGGUUGUAAACCUCAAAACUUAGGGAAGAAGAAAGUGACGGUACCUAAUAUAAGCAUCGGCUAACUCCGUGCCAGCAGCCGCGGUAAUACGGAGGAUGCAAGCGUUAUCCGGAAUCAUUGGGCGUAAAGAGUCCGUAGGUGGCACUUCAAGUCCGCAUUUAAAGACCGAGGCUCAACCUCGGGCAGGGUGUGGAAACUGAAGAGCUAGAGUACAGGAGGGGUAGAGGGAAUUUCCUAGUGUAGCGGUGAAAUGCGUAGAGAUUAGGAAGAACACCAGUGGCGAAGGCGCUCUACUGGACAUGUACUGACACUGAGGGACGAAAAGCUAGGGUAGCGAAAGGGGAUUAGAUACCCCUGUAGUCCUAGCGGUAAACGAUGGAUACUAAGUGUAGCGGGUAUAAACUCCUGCUGUGCUGAAGCAAACGCGUUAAGUAUCCCGCCUGGGGAGUACGCACGCAAGUGUGAAACUCAAAGGAAUUGACGGGGACCCGCACAAGCGGUGGAGUAUGUGGUUUAAUUCGAUGCAACGCGAAGAACCUUACCAAGACUUGACAUCCGAUGAAUCUCUCUGAAAGGAGAGAGUGCCUUAGGGAACAUCGUGACAGGUGGUGCAUGGCUGUCGUCAGCUCGUGUCGUGAGAUGUUGGGUUAAGUCCCGCAACGAGCGCAACCCUCGUCCUUAGUUGCCAGCAUUAAGUUGGGGACUCUAGGGAGACCGCCGGGGAGAACUCGGAGGAAGGUGGGGAUGACGUCAAGUCAGCAUGCCCCUUACGUCUUGGGCUACACACGUACUACAAUGGUUAGGACAAAGGGAUGCGAAACCGCAAGGUGAAGCGAAACCCAUCAAACCUAGCCCCAGUUCAGAUCGUCGGCUGAAACUCGCCGGCGUGAAGGAGGAAUCGCUAGUAAUCGCAGGUCAGCAUACUGCGGUGAAUCCGUUCCCGGGUCUUGUACACACCGCCCGUCACACCAUGGAAGUUGGUAACAUCCGAAGUCGUUACUCCAACCUUUUUUAGGGGGAGGACGCCGAAGGUGGGACUAGUGACUGGGGUGA
rnacentral:rRNA from 1 species